rnacentral:rRNA from 1 species
AUGGACCCCACCGACCAGUCGCCGGAGGAGAUGUACUCCGUGUGGGCCCUCCUGCCGGAGCCCGUCCGUCGCCGCCUUCUCGGCCUUAUGGCCGGCCUCCGUGCCGCGCACGGCGGCGCGGUCUUCGAGCCGCACGCCACCGUCCUCGGAGCCAUGCGUCUCCGCCGGUCCGCCGCCAUCGAGGCGCUACGAGCCGCGGCGGCCGGCCUCGGCCCAUACACCGCCCGCGUCGCCUCCAUCGGCCGCUACGGCGUCAACAUCCUCCUCGAACCAACCCGUGAGGUGAUGGCCACGAGCGACCACUGCCGCGCCCACUUCGGGUACCAGAGACCGACUCCGUACGUGCCGCAUCUGAGCCUCCUGUAUGGAGAUCACCUGACGGAGGAGGAGAUGGCAGCGGCGAGGAAGAAGGCAGGGGAGAUGGACAAGGGAAUAUUUGGGCUGCAGUUCGAGAUAUCCGAGCUCGCGCUUUACAAAACGGAUCCGAAGGACAAGAGCUUGGAGUCAUGGGAAUUGGUUGAGCUGUGCCACCUUCAGAAGAAGUGA